rnacentral:rRNA from 1 species
CCUACGGGUGGCAGCAGUGAGGAAUAUUGGUCAAUGGACGAGAGUCUGAACCAGCCAAGUAGCGUGAAGGAUGACUGCCCUAUGGGUUGUAAACUUCUUUUAUAUGGGAAUAAAAUGUUCCAAGUGUGGGAUUUUGUAUGUACCAUAUGAAUAAGGAUCGGCUAACUCCGUGCCAGCAGCCGCGGUAAUACGGCGGAUCCGAGCGUUAUCCGGAUUUAUUGGGUUUAAAGGGAGCGUAGGUGGAUUGUUAAGUCAGUUGUGAAAGUUUGCGGCUCAACCGUAAAAUUGCAGUUGAAACUGGCAGUCUUGAGUACAGUAGAGGUGGGCGGAAUUCGUGGUGUAGCGGUGAAAUGCUUAGAUAGCACGAAGAACUCCGAUUGCGAAGGCAGUUCACUGGACUGCAACUGACACUGAGGCUCGAAAGUGUGGGUAUCAAACAGGAUUAGAUACCCUAGUAGUC